UACGUAGGCAGCGAGCGUUGUUCGGAGUUACUGGGCGUAAAGGGUGUGUAGGCGGUUGUUUAAGUUUGGUGUGAAAUCUCCCGGCUCAACUGGGAGGGUGCGCCGAAUACUGAAUGACUUCGAGUGCGGGAGAGGAGAGUGGAAUUCCUGGUGUAGCGGUGAAAUGCGUAGAUAUCAGGAGGAACACCGGUGGUGUAGACGGCUCUCUGGACCGUAACUGACGCUGAGGAGCGAAAGCAUGGGGAGCGAACAGG
rnacentral:rRNA from 1 species